AUUUAAUACAUGUAAUAUAGUAUGUCAACUGACUUUUGUAUAAGACAUGACUGUCUGUUUAUAUAUAUAUUAUAUAUCUUUGAGCUAGGCCUCUGAGAUAUGUCCAUUAAUUGUUAGCAUAAUAUGAACACAAAAGGAAAUGCUACGAUACGUUAAGACGAAGUGGAAAACUGGCUUUAGUAUCUUUAUAUAAACAUUGUACAGUAUUCAGUGGUAAGCUAGCCGUGGCAACUGACCAUGCUAUGCUAAUAAACCUGC